rnacentral:lncRNA from 1 species
UGCCCUUAAUCGUGCAUUUCCAAGCAAACACAUAUUUUAGGUAAUUUCGAAAUUUACCAUGAUCUCCCAUGAAUCCGACCUUGGAAGCUUGUUAUGGAGCUUUACCGAGUUGUUACAAGCUUGAUCUAGCUUCUGAAUUCAGUUUCCCUUGCGUCAGCUCAAGGAUCGGCUUGCUUCAAAAUUUACCGUACAUACACACACGGGAGACGAGAGGGAGAGGGAGAGAGAGAGGUGCACUGCACACAUGCCGC